GUGGGGAAUAUUGGACAAUGGGGGCAACCCUGAUCCAGCAAUGCCGCGUGAGUGAUGAAGGCCUUAGGGUUGUAAAGCUCUUUUGGCGGGGACGAUGAUGACGGUACCCGCAGAAUAAGCCCCGGCUAACUUCGUGCCAGCAGCCGCGGUAAUACGAAGGGGGCAAGCGUUGUUCGGAAUUACUGGGCGUAAAGGGCGCGUAGGCGGCCGAUCAAGUCAGAUGUGAAAGUCCUGGGCUCAACCUGGGGACUGCAUUUGAUACUGAUUGGCUUGAAUCCGGGAGAGGAUAGCGGAAUUCCCAGUGUAGAGGUGAAAUUCGUAGAUAUUGGGAAGAACACCAGUGGCGAAGGCGGCUAUCUGGACCGGCAUUGACGCUGAGGCGCGAAAGCGUGGGGAGCAAACAGGAUUAGAUACCCUUGUAGUCC
rnacentral:rRNA from 1 species